AUUUUUAUAGUAUAAAUAUUACAUAGUAUUUUCAAUACUAAAAUGAAUUUUAUUCUAAAAAUU
rnacentral:tRNA from 1 species